AAGUCAAAGUAAUAUCUAUAAAGCUUCUUCAAAGCUUUUUUAGAAGAUAUUAUAGAAUUAACUUACUUUUACCUACUUCUAUCUACUUCUACCUAUUCAUAUAGGUGACUAUUGGCUUACAUGUAUAUAUUUGUGAUAUUAUCUCUCCUUCUAGAAACAAGUUCUAUGAGGAGUAGUCAUCAUAUGUUGGAAAAAUAUAUGAUGCAAUGGAUUAUAUUUGCCACAUACUUAGAUCUUUGUAUUCUUUGAACAUGGUUGAUAGGACUUUUCAACCAUUGAUAGUAUUUUAUACCAAGGCAGGAAGAUGACCUUGUUAUUUGAUCAUUAUUGAGGCCUUCAUAACUUCUUUCGAAUAAAAUAUUUGAAAUAUCGUCAAGAGUUGUUUCUACCUCUUAUAAAAUUAUGAGACAUUGGAAGUCU
rnacentral:lncRNA from 1 species